CCUACGGGUGGCACCAGUGGGGAAUUUUGGACAAUGGGCGCAAGCCUGAUCCAGCCAUGCCGCGUGCAGGAUGAAGGCCUUCGGGUUGUAAACUGCUUUUGUACGGAACGAAAAGGUUCUUUCUAAUAAAGAGAGCCCAUGACGGUACCGUAAGAAUAAGCACCGGCUAACUACGUGCCAGCAGCCGCGGUAAUACGUAGGGUGCAAGCGUUAAUCGGAAUUACUGGGCGUAAAGCGUGCGCAGGCGGUUAUGUAAGACGGAUGUGAAAUCCCCGGGCUCAACCUGGGAACUGCAUUUGUGACUGCAUAGCUAGAGUACGGCAGAGGGGGAUGGAAUUCCGCGUGUAGCAGUGAAAUGCGUAGAUAUGCGGAGGAACACCGAUGGCGAAGGCAAUCCCCUGGGCCUGUACUGACGCUCAUGCACGAAAGCGUGGGGAGCAAACAGGAUUAGAUACCCUGGUAGUC
rnacentral:rRNA from 1 species